UAGGGAAUCUUCGGCAAUGGACGAAAGUCUGACCGAGCAACGCCGCGUGCGUGAAGAAGGUUUUCGGUUCGUAAAACUCUGUUGUUAGAGAAGAACAAGGACGUUAGUAACUGAACGUCCCCUGACGGUAUCUAACCAGAAAGCCACGGCUAACUACGUGCCAGCAGCCGCGGUAAUACGUAGGUGGCAAGCGUUGUCCGGAUUUAUUGGGCGUAAAGCGAGCGCAGGCGGUUUCUUAAGUCUGAUGUGAAAGCCCCCGGCUCAACCGGGGAGGGUGAUUGGAAACUGGGAGACUUGAGUGCAGAAGAGGAGAGUGGAAUUCCAUGUGUAGAGGUGAAAUGCGUAGAUAUAUGAAGGAACACCAGUGGCGAAGGCGGCUCUCUGGUCUGUAACUGACGGUGAGGCUCGAAAGCGUGGGGAGCAAACAGG
rnacentral:rRNA from 1 species